rnacentral:lncRNA from 1 species
GGCCAGGAUAGAGUGAAUGAUGGAAAAGUAUUUUCAUAGUUUUCAUAUAAGAACUUAAGUUAAAUAAAUCUUAUAUAUGACAAAUGAUGAUGUUUGAUGAAUUUUUCAUAACCUCCAAUUUAUCGAAACUCACGAUAGAAGAACUGAAUCAGACGAUAAUUAUACUUAGAGAUUCAUUUCUUCUAUUCUGCUGGAUUGCGAC